UGACCCCUGCGGUGUGCGUAGAGGCAGACGAUUGAAAGAACCUAUACCCUCAUUAGGGGAAGUCGGACCUUACAGCGCCGCUCAUGCCCCACGCGGGACGAUGCGGACUUAUGCAACGACUGCCCACCUUAAUUCGAGGGUUCUUCAUGACAUGUCUUUACGGCAUCGGCGGAGGAAAC
rnacentral:other from 1 species